UACGAAGGGGGCUAGCGUUGCUCGGAAUGACUGGGCGUAAAGGGCGCGUAGGCGGAUGGCACAGUCAGAUGUGAAAUUCCCGGGCUUAACCUGGGGGCUGCAUUUGAUACGUGUUGUCUAGAGUGAGGAAGAGGGUUGUGGAAUUCCCAGUGUAGAGGUGAAAUUCGUAGAUGUUGGGAAGAACACCGGUGGCGAAGGCGGCAACCUGGUCCUUGACUGACGCUGAGGCGCGAAAGCGUGGGGAGCAAACAGG
rnacentral:rRNA from 1 species